UUUCCUCUUUCCAAAACUUCUUUUAGUCUCUACACGACAAUUCAAACAACUCUUUCUCUUCUCUUGCUCAAGUUGUUCUUUGAACCCUAAUUUUUGCUGACAAAAGCCUGCUUUCUUGAUUCAAACAUGUCACAUUUCACAUGCUACCGUUUCUCUUCUUUUCCUUCAGACACAAACCUACCAUCUGUCUCACCAACAAAUACCUCCAUCUUUUCUUUUUGGUUGUUAAAAAAUUGAAAAUGUCUCUGUUCUUUAGGGUUUCUUCUAAUAUGAGAGGGUUUUGUUUUUUGGUUGUUAAAAAACUGAAAAAUGUCUCUGUUCUUUAGGGUUUUUUCUAAUAUGAUGUAUGUGUCUCUACUUUCUUUCGCAUAAGCAUUUGAUUUGGUCACAACUUUCGUUAAUUUAUUUUCAGCUUAUAUUUUAUGGUUUCCAUAAAUGUUAAUUUGUUCUCUAUUUUUAUCAUAGUUAAUCUACUGAAGAUGGUUCAUAUUAGAUGGUUCAUAUUGGUAUGUUAUUAUAGUUCAUGACGCUACGAUAGCUCAUGUCAAUUUGGGUUUAUUUCAGGGCACUGAUAUACACUGCAGAGUAUCAACUGCACUUAAACCAGCAUCAAAAAAUUGUUUUAUCAACUUAUAACUUCAAUGCCAGAAUAUCAUUGAUGUUUUAUCAAGUAAGUUAAUUUCUGCUGUUCUUUUAGCUUUAUGAGAGCUCGAAAUGAUGGCAAAAGAUUUUAAUCGGGCCAUAUGUGAUGUUUAUUAAUUUGUUUACUUUUAAAAACCUUAUCAGUAUUCCGGUUGUUGUUCUAUUGGCUCUCUGUGGCAGAGUUUCAGGUACUUGAAAUCGGUAAAUAGGUUUAAUGAACUCGUGGCGUCAGUGUACGUCACAGCUGGUCAUAUCCUUUAUCGUAGAGAACUAAUUUACAUCAGAAAUAAAUAUUAUAUGAUUUUCAAUUUUUUGUAUCUGAAUACCAACUUUAAGAAUCAUUUAAUUUAAUUUUCUUUAAUGGGAUGAUUAUGCCACUGUCCCCUGACCCUUACAUCCCUUUCCUUCGCGUGAAUGGGAAAAAAAUAAAAGGGCCAUGAGUGGGCAAUGAUCAAACCUUAAAUCCACAUACUUCUUUAUGAAUUUUAGUUUUUUUGUGAUAAUUUCCUUGGCCUGUCAAACAUUCCCGGUUAAUGUUGCUUCAUGAUUCGCGUAAUGACGAUGGCAUUAAGAGCUUUUUCCAAGAGGUGCACGGGCUUUACAUAAAGGUUUCAAAUUAACAUUUUGUUAUUGAUGAUGAUUUUGGCCGUGAAGAUCAUAAACAUGUCUGCUUACUGUAAUGAAGGCAGAACAGGAGCGCCGUGCUGCAAUUAUCCGUGCUGAAGGAGAAAGUGAUGCUGCCAAGCUGAUUUCUGAUGCUACUGCGUCUGCUGGUAUGGGGUUGAUUGAGCUUAGGAGGAUCGAGGCUUCCAGGGAAGUGGCCUCUACUUUGGCUAAGUCUUCUAAUGUCUCUUACCUUCCUGGUGGAAAGAACAUUCUCAUGGCUCCCAAUCCUUCACGUUAAAGGCUCAACGAUAUGGUGUCAUAACAUGCUUGGAUUGGAUCAUUGUCACGAGGCUCUCCUUUGUUAAACGUCUAUUUUUUUCUACUUUGUAGAUACUAUCUCAUCUGAGCUUUGUUUCAUAAUGUUUUCGAAAAGAGAAGUUAGAAGGAUUUGGAUCUUAAUGUUUGAUAAUUGCAGAAUAACUAAAUGCAAAUCAUAGAAGGUUUGAGGUUGUUGUAGCUUGAACAUGCACUAAAACUUUGUUGGUUCCUUCUCCUUUUCCACUCCAUGCCUGGGUAUCACAACACAUGUAGAAUACAUGUAACCUUUUUCUUAAAUUUUGUCAAAGGAUAGAACCAAUCAGUGUUUCGGUAUUGCUUUACAUAUGAUGGGUGAUUCAACAAAUGUACAAUCACCUGGAAGGACAAUGAGCGAGUCUGUCGUAGCUGAUGCAUUAUUGAGGCUUAUUUCAGCUGCCAAAGGAAGGGUUAUAACAACCCAGUUUUCAUCUACUGAGAUGCAGCUGCCAAAGUUGGUGUUUGCUGGCAUGUUUUUAAUGACAUGUUUGGAUGUAGCUUCAAAGAAUGGAAAGUCUCCAAUUGAUCUAUCCACUUUGGUAAUAAACAUGUGUAUAUAUUUUUUUGUCAUCCUGCUUUCUCAAAUAAUGUUAAAAACUGAGAGUUUGGAAAAUGGGACCGGGAGGUUGAAGAAGACUUAAUAGAUUAGAAGUCUUAAUAUCAGUGACUGAUUUGUUUAUAAUUAGGAAACAAAUUAGUAUGUUUAGAACUGUCUAGAAAGUAGUUACAACAAACUCUAUCCUAUGGAACAAACAUUAAAUGCUUAUGUCUAGAGCGAUAUUUGUAGGCUGUCAUAGUUUUCCAAAUAAGCAUCUGAAUUACGCUGCUGAUUUGGUGUGCUAUGUUAUGUAGCUUUAUGAGUUUGUUGUUUAGUUUAUCAUACAAAUAUUACCCUAUUUAUUGGGGGUGGUUUAGUCAAACACUUCAAUCUCCCGAAAAAAAGUGAUAAUUGUUACUCAAAUUAUGCUAUUUUUCUUUGUUUGUGUUUGCAAAUUAUGUUGAUAUUUUGUCUGAAUCAAAUUUUUAUCAAUAUUAUUUUUAUAUACGGGAAAAAAUGUACUAUUGAUUCAAAUAUUUAUUUUGUUCUUAUUAAUGUAUUUUUUAUAAACAACAAUUACUAUUUUUAGAAACAAUGCGCGUGUCCGACCAGAACCCGUGCGUAUGCACGAGUUUGUUACUAGUUAUAAGUAAAAUAAGUGGUUAAUGAUGUACUUUUUUGUGGUUAAUAUAAUUGUGAAGUUGGUUAAUGACAUAUCCUUAUAUUUGUGUUAUCUACUUACUAUAAAUCUAAAGAAGUCAUGAUGGCAACCCUAGUCACAUAUCAUCUUUAAAACAAUCCAAACCACAAUCUUACCCACAUGUCAUCUUUACAAUAAUCCAAGCCACGUGUCAUCUUGGUAACAAAACCUUAAUUAUACAAACCUAAUAAUAAUAAUAAUAAUAAUAAUAAUAAUAAUAAUAAUAAUAAUAAUAGUAAUAAUAAUAAUAUUAAAUUUUUUAAUUUUAAUACUACUCUUUUUUCUAAUUCUCCACACCAACUCCAAUU